rnacentral:rRNA from 1 species
GACAGAGGUGCCAAGCGUUAGGCGGAAUCACUGGGCUUAAAGCGUGUGUAGGCGGAUGCCUAAGUACCUUGUGAAAUCCCACGGCUCAACCGUGGAACUGCUUGGUAUACUGGGUGUCUUGAGCCACUUAGGGGCUACCGGAACAAAUGGUGGAGCGGUGAAAUGCGUAGAUAUCAUUUGGAACGCCAAUGGUGAAAACAGGUAGCUGGGAGUGUGCUGACGCUGAGACACGAAAGCCAGGGGAGCAAACGGG